rnacentral:siRNA from 1 species
UUGCAUCGUUUCUUGAAUGUGA